CCCCCCCCCCGGCACCCUAACCCAGAAGCCUAAACAAAAGAAAAAGAAAAACUCUUUCAGAACAGAUCGUCAAGAACACGAGAAUAGUUGCAAUCGGUGAAAUUGGAGAAUCGAAUAUUUACAGAAUUCUAGUUUGGAAGCUCUCUUUAGGUUUCCAUCUCUUCUCUCAUCAAGGUAUCAUAGUAUUUUUGUUGCGAAGAGCAAAAUUGAGUUACAAGCUUACAAAUUAGAGGUAAUUUUUUAACUUUCUCAGUUGUGUAGUUCACCAAAUUGGGCAUCUCUUACAAUUCAUGUCAUCCUCCGUUUUAACAACCCUACAUUUCACGAUUUUUUUUUUUUAAAAAAAGAAGAAAUUAGUGAUAAUAAGAAAAAUUAGGAUUAAAUUGUGGCAUUGAUUUCAGAUCCUUUGUCUAUAGCAACUAUGAUGUGGCAUUAGAAGGUGUUUUGUUUCUGCUAAUAUGGUAGUUGUGGUAAUUGUAUCAUUGAAGAAUUGCUUGUGAUUGAGUUGUGCUACUAUUUUGGUUGGCUGUUAGCGUUGGUUUUUGGCUAUUUUCCAUUGUCAUAGUCUGCUUAUUUACACUGGAUAUGUUGUUAUUGUUGUUCUAUAAUCUACUUAUUUAUGAUCGACCAGUUUGAAACCUGGAGAAAAAAUAAUUUAAUAGCGAAUGCCUUUGCAACUACCUUGAACCGAACUUUAAACAAUAAGGAUCCUAGUGUAAAGCUUGAAUUGUUAAAUGUAAUAACCUAUGGAACUUGUGAAGGGUGGAUAGAAUAUUAGUAGUUGUAGAAGCAUGUCAAACAUUUUGAGUUCAUAAUUGAAUGUGGACCUAAAUUACGUAAUUUAGUCCUUCCCUGCCAGUUGAGUUCUUUUUGCUUUCGGUUGCUUUCUAAUGACGAGACCAAGUUGCUUUUCAAUUCAGGAAACCAUUUGCAAUGCAGUGUUAACAUGAGGUGUUUUUUAUUCUGUCUUUCUCCAACUCAUGUGUAUUUGAGUGUUGUUUCAAAACGGAGAAGUUCUAGCUUGAGAGGAUAUAUCAUAAGAAGAUGAACCAUUGACAAUUUGCCGUAAAUUUUCUUACUAAAUUCUUUGUUGCUCACAUGUCUGCCUUUAGUUAAAAGUUUUUAGCAGCUGAUUAAAGUCAUUCAAGUCUUUGGUCAUUCCGUAUACUUUUAUUUCAUCUACUAGUUGUAGUUAUUCUGUAAUAUGCUCCCUACAUGUCUGUCACAAUCUCGAAUUAUUUGGAGAAAACAUGCAGUUGGAGAAGUUUUGUUCUCUCGCAGAUAUUUCUUGGUAUCAUGAACGAAUUAUCAGAUUGAACCAAAAAAAAUAAGAGGACAUGGAGUAUUCUGUACGUUGCCUAGACAGAGGAGGCAAUAGUUGAAGUUUCUAUACUGCUUCAUCCUUGAUUUUUCUAUUCAUUUUUUAAAUAGAAACUUCCACAUAAAGUAUUUUACAGUUAAUAUUUUUGCCUUUGUAACAGUUAUUCUAUUAUUCUAUGGUAGGCAGGGGCGGAGCCACCUUAGGGGAAACAGUGUCACGGGGCACCGCUUCGUCGAAAUUUUUCACUGUGCAUAUAUGAAAUUCAUAUUUUCCUGGACGGCUAAGUGAACCAACAGAUGAAUCUCCAUUUUCAUAUCCUUCUCGGAACAUCCAGCAAUUGCUAGCUCACUGGUCGGGCACUUCGAUUUUCUAGUUAAGGUCGUAGUGUGUUGUCAUGAUUAGGAAUAGUCGAAGUGCUAUUUGGCAUCCCUUUUCCUAUUGAAAACGUACUGAAUUAUUUUCUGGUGUGGCUUAAUAAUGCUAUGUGUUUUGGUUAGAUUAGAUUGACUUGAAUCCGUCAAAAUCUCAAAAGUAUGAAAUGGAAUCAACUUUGAAGGCUGCGAAACAUUCAUUCAUUCCACCUGGUGCCUUAGCAAGAGGACAAGGGAAAAGCUUUAGAGCUUUGAGUUUAGUAAGAGUAAAUACUGAACAAAGACCUCCGAUUGGCAAAAGUAAAAAGUGUAAUACAACAACUUCUUAUCUGAAUGAGCUAGCUCUGAAUGAGAGUCUUGCACGCUCCUGGUUUUGAUCCAUAGAAAGACUAUGUUUCCCUCUCUCAAGAAGCUGAACUGAUGCAAACACUCAGAGAAACGAAAUAAGUCCAUGUGAACCUUAAAAGGCAAAAAAUGUGAGAGUGUCGAUCAGGUGCAUAACUCAAAGCUGGAGUAAUGUUGAGCAUCACUUUUUACCACAAUCAAAUUGUUGGGAAGCAUCAUGCCUCAGCGAGACACUUAGCUAUAUUAGUUAAUGAUCGUAAUAUGUGUCCAUUGCGCGUACAUUAAUGGGCGGACAUCGAGGAUUAUAAGCUGGAUCACAUGUGGGCAGCUGUGACUAUAAGGAUUUAAAACAUGAGUUUUUUGUUUUGCCUUCUCCUUUUAUUCUUUUACAAAUGAAAACGAAAUACUUGUGAGCUUAUAUCAUUGUAUUUGUUGAGUUAUUUUCUAUUUGAUUUGUCAGAAUCUGUAAAGAAAAUAGUUGAUAUGCUAUAUUGGACUUGUGAAACUCAGUGUUAUUAAAAGUGCUCGCUUCAUCGCCUAAAUCAUUGAGGUAAGGAGACUGGCUUGUGCUUCAGAAGGCUGAGGCGACGCUGGUAGAAAGAAGGGACUCUUCUCCUCAAGAAGAUCGAAGUGGAGGAGAAGCGAGAAGCAUGCGCUUCGUUUAUUUUAAUAAAAGAUGACUUUAAACAGAAAAGGAUUCAACUUUCUUACUAGUUUUGCUGCUCUCUUCCUUGGUCUAGUUCUAUACUUCAAGCUACAGCCUGUUAGUUGGAUAGUAGUGCAUCGACUAUACUGGCUAUCAAAGAUGUGGAGAUAGCUUGUUCUCUGCAUUGAAUUUGAGUUCCAUUAUAUUCUCAUGAAGUAAGCUUAUCUCUUAUCCCUAUUUGUACGGUGUAUUUUGGCAUAAGCAAGACUUGAGGAUUAUGUUACCAAUACAUAAUAAUGGAGGUGAAUCAUGAUCGUAGAAAAUUCUUAUGCUAUUGGUACUCCGUCUGCAUUACUGCAUUUUGGAUCAUAGUACAUAGUUGGUACUAAUUCCUAUUAUUGUGGUCUUCUCUUUUUUUCUUUCAUAAGUUUAGUCUUUGCUAAUAAACUGACAUAAAUUUGAAACUUUUAAUAGGUCAAGAAUUUGAAGACUGAGAUAAGUUUGGUGGUGACAUGUUUUUUUAUGGUUAUUCUAUAAUUAGUUACUUCUUAGUGUUUCUCUUUUCUACUUUAAGUGGCUCUUGUUAUUAAAUCUCAUCCAUAGAGAUUAGAAUAGUCUACACUUUACAUAAAGUGCGUUGUUUCAUCUUAUUUGUUGUGUCAUCUGCUUGAGCAUGCUUCUACUUUUAUUAUUUCAAAUUUAUUUUCUGGAUACAAAAGUAAUUCAUCCUUUUUCAUGUAUAUAACACAUCCAUUUGUAAUUUUUUCAGAUUUGGAAAACUGAAAAAUGAUGUUCGAUAUCAUUCAAUUUAUAUCAGGUUCUAUAAUAACAUGCCUUCUAUACCAAAGCUGAUUCCUUAAACAUAUUAGUAAAAGUAACUCGUUUUCUAAUAACAGGAGUAUCUGGUUUCCAAUAUUCUGUGUAAAGAGUUUCUCCAGUAGUUUUUUGGUAGUAUUGAAAACAACUGAUAGAAUAUGUCUCAUUAUUUCAUAUUCUUACCGAUUCCUUUUGAUCCUAGGCUUCAGAAUCUGUGAUGCGAAACCAAGACCUUUUAAUUGUUUUAAGUUGAUGUACUUAUUAAAGUUUUGUGAUUUGUUGCUAUGUGAAGAUAAUGAGUAUGGAUACGGUAGAAGAGUCAUGAUUAUUCUAUUCCUUAAAUAAAAUACUGAUGUCAUGAUAUUUUUAUUACUAAACCUAUAUGAAAAGUGGUUUAGGUCCUGUUUAGGAGAUUUUCUCAUUAGUUGCUCUAAUUUGAUGGAAUAAAGUUAUGUAUGAGGUUGCAUACUUGGAACUAAAAGCUGGACAUCAAUCAAUCAGGCGAAUCUUGAAUUAGAAUUUUGAUACUCUAGAGCUUGAGUUUUACGAGAUAGAGAAUCCUUUUCUCUUGGCUUGCACAUUCUCUUGCCUAUCUAUUAGGAGUUUUGUUACUAUAUUGAGAUGACCUUUCUUCUUUUAACAGAUCAAGAUUUACAAUAUACAAGCUGGAUUCUAAAGAACUGGCCUGCUACCCUUGAAGUAAGUGCAGAACAAUUGAAGCAAUCUACUUUGGUUUUGUUACAACCUGUUUAGAAAUGUCACAUUUGUAAAAGCUAUAAUUUUAUUCUCUUUUGUUUGGAGUUGACAAAUAUAAUGUCAUGUAAUCUGAAUGUGUAUAUUUUUAUAU